rnacentral:lncRNA from 1 species
UUUUUUUUUUAGUCUUAGUCUCUUGUCAAAACCUUAAGAUUCAAUGUGUAUUUAUAAUAAAUAAUUUUAAUUUAUCAAAAAAAUAAUGUAAAUAUAAUUUAAAAAAAAACUCAAACAAUCAUAACCAUUUUUAUUGUCAACCACAAAGUUGUGAGAUUGAACUAAGAAUAAAUACGUUUUAUCCUCCGGUGUUGACGUAAAACAUCCCACAUGACUUCCUUUAUAUAUCCUAUCGUAUAAAUCCUAAAAAAAUUUAAAAUAUUAUAAAAAACUCUUAGGAGCAUCAUAAAAAAAUGUUAGUCUUAGUCUCUCGUCAAAACCUAAAGAUUCAAUGUGUAUUUAUAAUAAAUAAUUUUAAUUUAUCAAAAAAAAUUAAAUAUAAUAAAAAAAAAACUCAAACAAUCCUAACCAUUUUUAUUGUGAACCACAAAGUUGUGAGGCUGUACUAAAAAUAAAUCCGUUUUAUCCUCUUGCGUCAGAGAAGGUUGAUGGAAAGACUUGGGACGUGCCGUUAUGAGAAGAGGUGACAUUUUGGAGAGGCGAUCCAAUACAUAAAUAAGCAGUUUCACAGAAUAAGGACCAUCCAUACAUGCAAAAGCUCCCUACUUUGAUCCAAAGGGAAGGGGGGCUGGUGAUGGGAUCAUCUCGAGUGACAGAAUAAAAAGAAGAGAAGACGAGAACAAGGUGGAGAGAGCAUGUGAUGGGAACAGCCUUUGUGUCCCCUCGGCAUCAGAGCCCACAGCAUCUCGACUGUUAUUUCCUUCUUCUUUUCUGCAUUCCUACUAGCCUCUUAAUGCUGGAUCUGACACCACAGUGGUCGCCAAAUGUUCCAAUCAUCUCACUGUUUAUAUCUCGGAGAACACCCAAAAGAUUAUGCUAACCAAACUCUGAAACGAGCAAGUUCUUAAUUACACAUGAUCUCUCGACGUCUGAAUCUUUCAUCGUGAUCACGAGAAGUAUGAACCGUAUGAGAAGGAUCGUUCCCAUCACAAACAAACAGAAGAGAACCGCAUCAAACAGAUCCUUCUGCUUUGAUGCCACUCCGUCCUCCUGACAAUGAAAGACGAGAACCAUCGGAGCGACUUUUGAUCUCGUGACCAUCCAUUAUUCGGCUCUCCCUCCGCGCGCGCGCGGCUUCAGAUACCAAACACACAGAGUGGGCAUCUACCGAUGCAGACACGACACAAACUAUAUAGAAAACUGGUGCAGAUCUCGUGUUCCGCGCCCGGGCAGGGAGCAGAGGUGAGUGGGGAAGAAGGCAGGGAUGAGAACCUGUGAAGGACUCCGUGGCGGAAAAGAUAUCCCUGGUGGGAUUCCAUCCACUCCCACCUACUGUGAGUCCACAGCCACCACGACAACAGAGCCAUCAUCCUUCUAAAUCAGCCUUUUCAGCACAGUCCAAACUCAUCCUCCUCCUUUCGAUUGAUGCUUUCUACCACCUUGUUUGCGUUUGUUCUUUCUAGUAAUCUCUGUCACUCACUGUGUCCUGCAGCACACAAACAGAUAGAUAGAGAGAGAGAGAGAGGCGGGAAGGCAAUUUUGUUGGGUUCUAGAAAUCUUCUCUUCUAUCUCACAGUGACGACAGAGACGAUGAGUGUCGUAGUAUACUGUCGUGUUUGGAGACUCUGUACAUGGAACUUCGCAUUCUAUUGGAACAUGUAGGGAUAGAUUAGUCCCACAGGUUAAUAAUUAUAUGCUAAUAUAAUCUUGUUAUUAACAUGAUAAGAUAAUAUAAUAACCAAACUAUACGUAAAAUAAAGACAAAAUAUUUAAAUCUAGCAAAAAAAAACUAUAUUUAAGUUUAUUGAACAUUCUAACCUUUGGAAAUGAGAAUCGGUAUACGAUCGGAUCAGAACAUCACAUCAACGUUUUGAGCUUUAUAUUCUAAUUGAAUAUAGUAGAGGGGAAUGAUGUAGCCAAGCAUAUGCUGCCAACGGGAUGUCAGAUACAUAAAUGUACUACCUGCAGCUGCGGUGCUGUAGAUGCAAAUACCGCAGAUGACAGUAGGAAGAAUGCAUGAACCCUUUCCAAAACCACUAUUCUUGUGCAUUCAAUCUCAUCCGCGCUGUAGUACUGAGCCUGAAGCGAGACAGUAAGGAUGGAUGCAUGAGCAUUAGCCCUUAAAAGGUCACUUUCGCUUGUCAGAGAUCUGUGGAACAUUUACAUACAUCUCAUCGACAGGCUACUGCGGGGAAGAAAGCACACAUGAGGCAGAACAGUCGGAUGGAUACACGCAAUGACAAAAGGGACGCAUGAGCCGUUUGGAAAUGGCGCCCUUCCUUUCCUCAAGUGCGCAAGAUACGUGCAUACGUCUACGUCUCGUUGAUACAGCUCUCGAAAAAGGAAUCCAUAGGAAGCAUCCAUCGGGAGAUGGAGCUCCUCUGCCAUCCCCCCCCCACCCGCCCAGCUUCCGCUCGCUCGGCAUCUGUCUUCGUAUCGUAAUCAAUGCUCACUGGCGAUCACCCACAGCCACUUGUGUCUGCUGCCCCCACCGAUCCGUGGCGUCCGGUGUGCCGAAUCCCUGCCAGCAUCAUCGGAGGCGUACGUGGUCAUCGAAGCGGAUGCCGAUCCCUGUCCUGUUGGGCACGAAAGCGGAGGAGCGGCUUCCCCUUGGCUUUGGUGCAUGAAAAUUCGUGCAACCUUUUUUGUCCGUCGCCGUGAUGCCAUCAUCUGAGACCGAAUCGGAUGAGGUCAAGCUGGGAGUUGAUCGGAAAUCGUAAACAUUAUCGUGAUACUUAAACAUAUUUGAGCUUCAAAUAAAUCGAAGUUUUUCUUCAAAAAAGAAGAAAAAAAAAUCUAUUAAGAAAAAAAAUCAAAGUAUUAGCACUCAACGAGACAUAAGUGGAUCAAACCAAUGAUCCGACUGAAACCAAAAAAAAGGAAAAGUUUUGGUUGAUCUAAUGCAACCCAUCAGCACAAUGAUUUUUCCUCCUCUACAACAUAAGAGAUAUCGAAAUAAUAAGCGAUAAGGGGAUGAGAGUAACUUUAGAAAUAAUAAAAAUAAUCAUCAAUUGCAACAUGAAUUUAUUUAUUUAUUUAUAUCGAAUCUAUUGAAUGAAAAAGUAACUGCAACAUGAUUGCCUUUCAAAAGCGUAUACGGAAAUUCAUGUUUGUCGGGAAGGAAGUGAAGAAAAAAUUAAAAUUAAAAGAAUAAAUUAGAGAUUAAUAAAUUUAAAAUAUAUUCAAAAUUUGAUGCAAGAUGUAGGGUAAUUUAAUAACAUCUAUUUAUAUUUAUUGAUAAAAUCAAACUUUUUAAUUUAUCAUAUCAAUUAUAAGAUUCUUGGGUUAUCCUCACUCGAACAAAAAAUUAUCAUAACAACUCUUCUCGUCUUAACCCUUUGUAUAUCGGAUGAAGAAUAUCUUCUUUAGACAUCCUAAAGAGAAACUAAAAAACGUCUAAAAUAUCUUAUUUAUGUCUCUACCUUUCACCACGACCUUAAAAAUCAAUAUAUAUUCAUAAGAACAAAUCAUAAUUUUCUAAUGACUCUUUCUACUUUAAUCUCUAAUCUAAAUUUAAAUUCAUUAAGAUGUUUAAAUUUAAUUAGAACUUCUUCAAAUAGUUUGAACCUUAUAAAAUGUUGCUUGUCAAUCUUAACAAUUUUCACCUUGUUCAGUAUUUUCUUACUUUGUGCUUCUUUCAAUUAUUGGCUUAAAGAAUUGACGAUAGCUACACAAAUUGAAUCAAUUCAUGAUCCCAUAAAUGAUUUUAACAAAUUUGUCAAUACAUCUUGCAUUGCUGUAAUUGAAUCAAUGAUGCUAUUUGAUUAUGGGGAGAAACUUUCAUCUCAACAUCUUAUCACUAGCGUAAUUUUUUUUCUUAUUAUUAUUUGUAUCUUGGAAACCAUAAAUAUUAGUUUUUUAUUUUUUACGCUACAAAUGAAGCUUACUAUAAUAGGUACCUACCAUUCGUUGCAUAUGCAACCUCUCUUCAACCCUUUGUGAUCUUCACUGUACUUUCUUCCAUAUGGUAGAUACCUUGAUGCAAUCUCCUUUUUAUCAAGACUAUACAACUCCGAAUAACAUUUAAAACUAUACCUUCAGCGUUGUAGCCAUAACCCUAAUAUCUAAAAAAAACUCAAAAAAAAUUCUUUUGCAUCAUUGGAACAUAAGCUACUAUUCCAUCAAAUAUUUUGAUCUUCAUCUUACCGACAUGAAUGACUACCAUCGUCAAAUCCUCACCCAUAUUUAAAUUUACUAGUCAUCUUGUCAUUUAGUAAAUUAAAAUAAUCAUUUCAAACACAUACAAACAUGAGUAACACAAGCCUUUUGAAAAGAUAAAUAAUUACUUUUAGAUAUUAUGAUUCAAUUUUAUUAUUAUAUAUUAUAAGAGAACACCCAUAUUAUCUAAAGAUCCUACUCAUGAUCUGGAUUUGUCAUGUUGAGAUUCACUCUUAGUAGCACAAAGAUAUGUUAAUAUCUCAUAAUUCAUAUUUAUCAUUUUUCCUAAUAGCAUGAGAUAGUAAAUCUUCUUCUACUUAUUUCAUAGUUAUUGUAUCAUUUCCAUAUAAUAACGUCUUACAAAAUUGUUAUAAGAGUUGACGAACAAUAUAAGACGUAACAACGCAUUAUCAUUUUCAUCAAUCUUCAUAUCAACUUUCUUCAUUUGAUAUGAAUAUAUUUAGAUGCUAAACUAAGUCUUCGUCUUCCUCUAACAUUUUUAGAUACAAUUUGUUAAUUAAGUUCUUAGCCAAAUAAUUUUUUUAAUUUAUCCCAAAUAAUCAUAGCUUAGUCAUCAUCAAUAUCAUUAUUGAUAAUACACUUACUUUGCCUCAAGCUCUUUCUAAUUUUUAUUGUUUAUCUUUUUUAGCUUAUUUGUUUAUUCUUUUAAUGUUCUUGUUAGGUUUUACUAAAUAAGAAGAUUUUUGUCGUACUUCUCUGAUAGGGUGAUACUAUUAUUUCUAUUAAUUUUUUUGAUAUUAAAAUCAACAAAUACAACUAAUGAUUUUUUGUUGAAUAUUGGAUCACUAGAUGUUUUGAACUAUAAUACACUUAGUUAGAAAGAGAGAGAAAAAUUGAAAUCAAAAGAAUAAACUCAAAGAUCAAUAAAUAAGGAGCACACUAAAAAAUUGAUACAAAAUGUAACGUGAUUUGGUAGCUUUUACCUAUAUCAACGAAAAAUAAUAUAGAUUCUUUAAUAUAUGAGAUCGAUUACAAGACAUUCACACUCAAUUAUGACUCCCCCUAUAUACCCUUUCACAUAAACCUAAUAACUCAAAGAUUACAAACAAGAGAAUAUAUUAGAAAAUUGAUGCUAGAUAUAAUGUGGUUUGACAACUCUUACCUAGAUCCAUGAAGAAAACUAAAAAUUUCAAUAUAUGAUAUCAAUUAUUAGAUAUUUGAGUUAUCCUCGCUCAUUCACAACUUUCGACAUCUUAGAAAAAAAAAUCCAAAAAUGCUCAAAAUAUCUUUCUAUAUCUCUUUCUCCCAUUAAAACUUUGAGACUUUAUUUAUAAGAAUAAACCCUAAUUAGAACUCUUUCUAUUUGAAUUACUAAUUUAAAUCUAUAUUUUGUCAAGAAAUUUAAAUUUAAUUAGAACUCCAUUAAACCUCAUAAAAUACUUAUCAUCCUUAACUAUCUUGAUUGUCAUUAGCUUAUUAUAGUAAUUGUUAUUUCUUUCCCAGAAAUAAUCCAUGAAACAUAAUACCUUUAUUAGCUUGUAAAGACUUCAAUAAAACACCCUCUUGUGAUCUAAUAUCAUCUUUAUAAAACACAAAAAAAAAAAAGAGACAUCCACACGAGGAGAUAAUUUCCAGUUUCAGUCAUAACAAUGAAAAAAGCAUCCCAUCAUCGCCGGUCCUAUGGAAAAAUCAUGAAUAUUAAAUUUUAAGAAUAAUGAAUGAAGUUGCAUUUGGCACAUUUAUGGUACUCCUUGAUUUUGGACAUCUGCCGAGAAUAUGAACGAUGAUAAAAGAUGACGACGAUGAUAACGAUGAUAAAAGAUGACGAUGAACUGAAUGAUAGAAAGAUUCUGGAAGCAAGUUUUGUUUGAUUUCUUUUCUUUCUCUAAAAUGACCUAAUUUGUAUCGUAGCAAAUAAAGACAUUCUUGUUCAUCAGGAUAUUUUACAUGUUGAUUAUUCACCUUGGACUAAUUAUGUAUCGGUCGUUGCAUUAUCCAUAUACAACCUGAGGUAUCGAAGAACUAAUGGUAUUAAUAUGCAUAUAACAAUAAGAUAGAGAUCGAUAGUGAUUAUGCAAACAUGAAGAACAGUGUACGUAAAUAAUUCUAUAGAUUAUGGUCGAUUCAUGACUAACCUAAUUUGGUAAAAAUCAAAUUUUACUAAAUAUAGAAGUACGUUGAUUUGUCAUCAUAACAUUCUCUAUCGCUAUCGAAAUGGGAGUUUGUGAGAUGAACUCAUUAAUGGCUUCAUGGAGAUCCACAUCGAUGACCUGUUCGUAACAAUCAUCAUCGAGAUAUUAAGAUGACAGUUUAUUAAUGACUCUGGAAAAGGAAGUAUACUAAGGAUCGAUGUGUUUUUGGAAACCCAUUAAUACUUGUGCUGCUGCAAGCGCAGAGGAGAUGGGUGGGACCCGCGUCAUGUUAACUGGUCUGUGGAGCGUAACGUGGCGCGUUUGACCAUGGAAAAGAGAGUCGUCCUUUUCCUUGGCCACCCAAUCACCAAAAUUCUCGCCCUAUGCGCUCUCUGCCGUCGUCCCCCUUCUCGAUGCAUCAACGCUGACGACGGCAGAGGAAACGCUGGUAAAGACGGCCUACUCUACAGUUGUUGAACUCGCACCAGUACGGCACCACAAUUCUCUAUCUUCUCUUUUUCUCUUUCUUUUGGCGAUGAGUUCACGUCACCUGCGCCAGGUUUCCACCGCAUGAAAUUUGUCAAUGCGACGGCGGUUGUGCAAGCAAAGCUUGCUGUUUACAUGGAUUUAUGAAUUAAUGGCGACGAGAAGAGAAAUAUAGUCUGUCUUUCUGAUGACGACCUCUGUAUGUCUAAGACAAUCCUCGAUAUAACCAUCGGCAAAUCUUUCCAUGCAUUUUCCAUUCCAUGCCUGUCCUGCCAGUGGAAGUAAUGGAUGGAUGAGGCAGCAGCAGCUGCAGCUCGAGAGUCAUGUAUACGUUCCGAGAAUCAUCACUUCGAUCAUUAGGCACAGUGAUUGGAGGCAAUGAUGACCUUGGUUGCAGGAAAGAUAUCAAUGGCUUGACGGAAUACCUUCACUGCAGGGUAUAGAAAAGAGGAACAGAGACGCCAGGACGACGACCCAUGGUCAGUGCAUGCCCUUGCUGACAGGGGAACCCAUUGCCAAUCAUGUUCAUAUAUAUAUAUAUAUUGAUAACACAUAAAGCUUAAAUUUUCUCUGGAACAAAAAUAUUACAUUGAUGUGUAAGUUAAUGAAACAGUUGAAAGGUAUAGUGAUGGUAAUGAUUUGUCGAGUAGAUGAUGAGAAGGGAACAGAGGAAUGAAGCAAAAGAUGGAAAGGAGGGAGUCACGGGUUUACCUUGAAAGUUGAAACGAAAACCUCCAAGUCCAUAUAACAUUUCGUCUUUGCUUACCCCCCAACACCGACCGACACAUAUUCUCCCCCUCACACCUCGAGGCUAUGAAGUAUGCAUUAAACCCCCUCGCCAAUUAAAACUCCACCUACACACUCCCACUCCCACUCCCACACCGUCCGCUGUAGUCUGCAGUAAAAUGGAGAGGUGUUGGGGAGGAGGAGGAGGAGGAGCAGCAGCAGCAGGAGUGGCGGCGGCGGUGUCGGAGCCGCACAAGCCAGUCCCGGCGCCCUUCCUGACGAAGACGUAUCAGCUGGUGGACGACCCCGCCACGGACCAUAUCGUCUCCUGGGGUGACGACCGUGUCUCCACCUUCGUGGUGUGGCGCCCUUCUGAGUUCGCCCGGGACGUCCUCCCCAACUACUUCAAGCACAACAACUUCUCCAGCUUCGUCCGCCAGCUCAAUACCUAUGUACGUGUUGUCCUCUUCCCCGACUCUCUGUCCUCGUUUCGUUGUUUGUAGUGCUUGUGACUGAACUCUCCUUUUUUUUACUUUGGUGGCGACGACGGUGGCACAGGGGUUCCGGAAGGUGGUGCCGGAGAGAUGGGAGUUCGCGAACGAGUUCUUUAGGAAAGGCGAGAAGGAGCUCUUGUGCGAGAUCCACCGCCGCAAGACCUGCUCUUCCUCUUCUUCCUCGUUUCCAUUGGCUUCGUCUCUUCCCUUGUUCCCUCCCUUCCACCACUUGGAAGACUACCGCCUGGCCUCCCCACACUGGCACGACGCCUCCUCGUCGCGCUUCCUCCUUCUCGGCGGCAAUGAUGUUAAUUCUACUAAUGCUAUUCGGAUCGGCGGCGGCUGCGGAGGAGGAGGGCAGCCGACUGCGGCGGCGUUGUUGGAGGAGAACGAGAGGUUGCGGCGGAGCAACGCGGCCCUGCUGUCGGAGUUGUUCCACAUGCGGAAGCUUUAUAACGACAUCAUCUACUUUGUGCAGAACCACGUCCGCCCCGUCGCCCCCAGCUCCGCCGCAGCUUCUGCCAACUUCUUCCUGUCCUCAGCCUAUCAACGGAGAGGGUGUCACAACUCCGGCAGUCCCACCUCCAGCAGCUCGCUCACCAUUGCCGAGGAUCCAUCGCCUUCUCCACUCGACAACGCAACAAAUGACAAGGACAUUGGCUGCAACGAAGAGAGCAGCAGUGCGAGACCCAAGCUCUUUGGGGUGUCACUUCACGGCUGUUCUAGCAGCAGCAACAAGCGAGGAUUUCAUCUCCACGAGCCAACCUCGCCCUUCACCAGACCGCGUUUGGUGUUAGACAAGGAGGACUUGAGUCUCAAUCUAACGCCAUCUUCUCCCCCUGCCUGUUAACACACCCAUCCCAUCCCAUCCCUUCUCUCAUCAUCUACUGCUCUAGACUCCUUGUCGUUGUUUCUCUUUCCAGCUUCGCUAAUUUUGUAGUUGCCUUCUCAGUUGCUGUCGAGAAUUAAUGUAAAUAAUCCGAUCUAAUGGACUUGGUGUACUUUUCACGUCACUGUAUACGAGUCGAGUCCAUGAAAGCAACUUAUUCUUCUUGACCUCUGAAAAGAAGCGAGUGAAGUGUCUGAGGGAGACAGUCUCCUCCGAGUUGGUCAAGCAGAGCAUGACGCCAUGGAACAAAAAAAUAAAUCCAGGAAAAAGCAGUCUAAAUCGGCGAUCCAAUCCAGAAACCUGGAGCAUGGAUGGGCAGCCGUAGAGAAGUGUAAGCAGCAGCAGAAAGAAGAGAACGGUGUCUUCUUCUCCUUCUUCUUCUUCUUGCUCAAAACUACUGGGAACGUGAUCGUUGUCAGAGAUUCCCCGUCCUCGUGCUGCCAUGCAGACAGACUGCACGCUGACCCACUUGCUUCUCCACAUAAAAUGACAAGGAACAAAGCAACAAGAACGCGCAGGGAGAACGCGGUGUGGCCCAUGCAACGAUCGAUGGCUGUGAUGAUUUUGAGGCCGCUGCCAUGAAGAGGACGAUGCACGAUGCACACACAACGUGCUACUAUUUCUACGCUUCUAAAGCCAUAUAUUUCGGAUAAUUCCCUUCUUUUCCCAUGCUCCAGUUGAAGCUUCUAGCGAUGCAAUGAAUCAUCACUAAGGUUGAGAUCACAUACUCUGUCGGGCAGUGUGAAGUUGGAGGCUGUCCUUGCUGGAGCAGCAACACGCCAUUGCCUCUUUUUCUACCACCUUUAAGGUUUUGAUGAUACCGCGAGUCUUUCUUUGUGGGCUCAUUGGGUUCGCUUUCUUCCUCUUUACCUUUCUCUUGCCCCGAGCUCCAAUUACGGGGGCCAUUGACCCGGGAAUGCCUUGUGCCGUAAACGCAAUACCUGUCGCCAACCCGCUUUAUCGUAUGUUGUAAAGGGACUAAGGGGUGAUUAAAGUUGACCAGAUUAAAGAUUGGGAGUGGACUCCAUGUAGGCUGGCGGCCUUCUCGGUGCCAUGGACGCCCAAAAGAACAAGAAAAGGAAAGGGAACUUAUGGGGAGACCGAAUGAUGUCAAACGAGAAAGAAGAAGUAAAAGCACAUGCGAAGGCCUUAACACGCAGCACCCAUCUACGAUGCCUGGAGUCACGUCAGGGUUCCGGUCCAACGUAUCAUGUUCAACAAAUAUUGAGACCGCGUCACGUGGAGCGAGAGGGUGAGUUCUGUGCGCACGAGAACAAAGAUGUUCUUCCUGUCAUUUCACCUUGUCGAUACGGUCAGUAUGAGCCUGGCAAAGUAGUACCUUUGCCUUAUGCAUUGCAUUACAGACCAACGAAUCAUUGGAAACAUCACAAGUAAACUCUCGUUCGAGAUUUACUCAUACCAUCAUCUACUGCAAGAAGGCAUACAUAUAACGAAUCUGUGUCCUGUUGAAAUUUACAAGCAAGAUUUUUUCGGAACAGUUCGAGUUAUAUCAAUAAACCAUAUACAUGAAACAUCUCACACACUAUCAUUUAAAGUUCAGGAUUGGAAUGGCAAUGAGUAAGACAUCUAUUAUCUGUAUUCAAAGCCCACUUGAAUCCCUUUCGAACCUGAUUUAAGUUACCUGAACCCUCUUUAAUUAGGUCGAUUAGAUCUUAGUACUUUAAGUUACUUUCAUUCCUACUAGUGGCAUUGCCUAUAAGGCACAAGUGAGAAUGUACCCAUCCAAAUCAUAUUAGAUUAAACUAAGCAUGCAAUUUCACAUAAACAUAAUCCAAUCUUUUGUCACAUAUAAGGCCAUACAUACAUUAAUCACAAAGUCAUUAUUGUUUAACCAGCAGCAACUGGGCGGGCUUAUGUAUGACAGUCCAAACAAUUCUAACAAGUAUACCACCUUUAAACCGAAUAGCAAUCGCUAAUUGCUCUUAAGAAAAUAUACAAGCAUCGGAGAAGACGUAACAAAGCAAAUGGAAAGUUAACUUUCAAGUAAGCAAGAGGCAUGUUAGCACAACUGGACCCUUGUUUCCGCUAGGCAUCAAGGUUUGAGAAUUUCAUUAUCUGAAAAAGAGACAAGCUUCUAAAUCGGCUCAUAAUCAGUCUUCUUGGAUCAAAAGUUGCAUUAUAUUUACCAACAAACAUUAAGAAACAAAGGGCAUGAAAUUUGACACGAAUCAUCACUAACUCAACAUAUGAUGAUCGGACUUACAAGGGUUAUGCCUUCCCGAUAAAUCCAUGGAAACCCUCCUGCUGUUAUGAUGUUAAAAGCUGCAUUUACCUGUUUGAUGAGUUUCUCAGGCCUAAAUUAUGAGAACAAAACCGUCGCCUAAAACAUAUUGAAAACAGACACUGAGGUGCUCUGGAAGGAUAUAACACUCCCAAACAAAAUGUAUUUUGGCAUCUGACAAUCUUAUAUUAUUGAUAUCUAUAAUAAUCAUUAAGCUGCUUUCAGCUUAGCCAGUUCUGGUGCAGGAGAGACUCCACCAGUCGUUGGCCUGAAAAGUAGUAAAAGUCUUUAAGUAUCUGAACGUUACAAUAAGGAAGCAAUUAUAUCAUGAGUUAAAAUCAUGACAGUUCUAAGGGAGGCACUUACAGGCCAACCAUGACUUUGAAAGCAUCGUAAAUCCCCCACUGUGCGCCAGUUAGAGUGCCAAUCAUCACAAUACGAAGAGGGAGCCCACGUGUGAAAAGACCCCACAGACCAAGCUUUUUCACAGCCUUAAAAAGAAAAAAUGUAAAUUGUUACUAUCAUAUAAACAUAUUAUGAUCUAGCAAGAUGAUAUAUCAGAUUAUAAUAAACCAUACUAUGAAUUUUGUGAAAUACAAUGAAUAUAUGAAGUACUCACAUCACCAACUGUAGCACCCUUAGCGUUGUUUAGGAAAGAGACAAGGUUGUCAGCUGGAUGAGAAACUAUAGCACAGAAAAUUCCAGCAAUAUAACCACCAGCAAAGCUUAUGCCCAGCUGACGUGUUUUGCUACACUGGUCUUUGGGUGUUGGAAUUGCAUAUUUGUAGAUCAUCUCAACCACAGUCUCAAAGGAUGCAAAUUUCAUCAUGGUAUCUGCGCCAAGCAGUACAUAUAAAUUUGACAUAGGAGCUAAUUUCUCACCAUUAGAUUACAUGUGAGAAAGACUAAGCAUGCAAAUCUUAUAUAAGAAGGAAAACAUAAAACACAAUUCUUCAUUACAUUUAUGUGAAGUUACUAUAAACUAUAUUGCUCCAAUGGGCUCAUUGUCUACACAAGACUUAUUAUCCAAAUCAUCACAUAUAAAAACGACAACAUCGGAAGCAACAAUCGCAAUGCAUGUUUUUUUUGUAAAAAUAGCUCAAUUUUGCAUGUAAAACCAGCUACAAGUAUACUUGAAUUGAAUAAAGAAAUUGUGUUAUUAAAGAUCCACAUUGAAACUAAUAUCCCAGUUUUUUUAUAUAUUAAACAUAAAGUCGAGUCAAUCCCUGUACUUCCAUUCAUUGUUCAUGAAAAUCUCAUUCCGAUCUCUCUCUGAUCGAUUUCAAUAACAUCCAAUAACUAUGAAGUUAGUGUACACUGUGAUUGGGUUUGCCAUUUUAGCCCUUUGCUAGCAGCCUUAUGAAAAUGAAUGAGCUUAUUCACUCUCCAAUGUUACAUUCACUUACAACAGAGAAUGAAACAUUUAAAAGAGACAAAUAAAGAAUAUGAACUAUAUAGACUAAUCAAUCCCAUUUUCCAAGUAAACGAACCAAAUGGUUAGACAGCAAAAUUUCUUAUGUUAUAAACAGGCCAACAAGUCACAUUCUUCAAAAUCCUUGGUGUCAGCUCACCAAUAUUAAGAAGAAAAGUUGCCAGGUCAGUGCAGUCUGACAAAAUGAAAUUACAGAUCGUAACAAAGAAAAGCAUAGUAAGUUACGUAAACAAGUAUCCAAGUGAACAAGGUCAAAUACAAUCCGAUAACAGCAUUCAACAUAGAAAAAUGUGACCUCUUACACAAUCACUAACAUAUCUUUCCCUGAAUCAAGAAGCCCUGACCUAAUAAUUUGACUGAUUCCUAACAGUUAGCCCACAGAUGUUAAAGAAAUUGACGGGAUCAGCAAGACCACCUGAUCCUAUGAUAACUCAAGUUACUCAACAUGAUUGCAACCAAACUGCAAUAAAUCUCAAUCAAUUUUUGACAUGUCCAGUGGUCCAAUUAGUUAUCAACCAGCUAAGAGAAUCCCAGACAAUCCCAAUCUUAUGCAACACACUUAUAUUUGCAUUAAUUUUAAGAGAACACAUUAGCAAUCAUAUCCAGUCAAUCCAACCAAUUCCAUUCCAAAAUUCUACUACCCAUCAGGGUCUUGCAAAAUUUAAUUCAAGCAGCUUCAGAAGGAUAUGAUAAACAAUUGUCUUUGAAUUUACAAGAUCUUAUGAAUCCCAUUUUCCUACCGUUGCACUUUUGUUAGCAAUAUUUUGCAUGGCAUUUUCUAAUAGAGAAUACGUUUUCAUUAUAUCAAGCAGGAAAAAAAAGAGUAUGCAGGAUAUACCAUAAAGAUAAAGAUCUAAUUAAAAUUCAGGUCUUCUCAAUGUUUGACAAUACUAUAGCCCAACCUAUCAUUUGAAGCAACAGAGUUGACAAGUAUAGGUAUCAAUCGGUUAUAACACACAAUUUCUAAAACCCAAUUCACAUGAUCUUUCUCUUAUCUCUUUAUGAUCUAUUAUUUUUUAACUGAAUCAGAUAUUACACAAGGAUCAAAUAUAAUCCUUAGUUUAAAGAAAGAGAAACAGUCAUGUGAACCAAUUUAUUGAAGUGCAACCCCAUUCAGAUCAACAGGAGACGACUCAAGUAGAGAGGUUUGAUUUUUAUAUGCACAUUUAAAAUCUUCUGACCCUGGCCAGGAAGAUCACAGAACUAUGUGAAAACACAACAGACUGACAAGAUGAUAGGAAAAUCAAACAUACGGAAUUUCUCAGGGUAUCUUGUGAAAGGUUGGAAAUAAACAUGAUAUCUAAGAAGUUUUCCCCCACGUGCUAUGCCCAAAAGUUGAGUUAAGAUAGAGUUGUCAUCAUGCACAAACAUCCAAGCGUUUGUUAUAUAAAUAUAAAUGACAAUUUGAGUAAAUCCUAACAAAAAAAGGCCACGACUCAUGUUUAUGUGCAAAAGAAAACACACAAAUAGCAGACAACAAUGACGAUGAUCCCUUUAAUGUAUAACACUAAAAGACAAAAAGUCAUCAAUCAAGGAAAAAAAAGGUUUUGACGAUGACGAAAUAGAUGCUGCAUAUGAAAUGUUAAAAUGAUUAGCGUCCUUGGAAUUAGCACAACUUUUAGUUUGGAUCAUCCUGCAUUUCCACAUCAACUAUUCUUAAAUUUGUAGCACAGAAAGGAUCACUAUGCUUUGAAAUAUUCUUCCAAGUGUAAAAAGAGGGAACUUAAGUUUCCAAUUAGUCAAUGAAAUAUGUAAACUUCACUUGAGUGACCACAAUCUAGUAUCAGAGUGGAGAAGACAAGAGAAGACGAACAUUUCAUAUAUGCAAACGAAUGAAGUUCCAAUAUUCAGACUUAGAUUACAUGAAGAAUGAUGCCAGGCACUAACCAAAGGACGCAAUAAGCUGAAAAUAAGCAAUAGUUUUAAGUGUAAAUCUACAGAGCAAUAUGCCUAGAAAAUAUAACAUGAGCUACACCAAAGUGAAUUACAUCAAUGUCAGGUAUCCAAACAUAAUGCUGGUGCAAGAAAACUCAUAAACCAGCAUAACAGAGUGUUGAGAAACUAAUUUUCUUGGAACACAAAAAACAUCUCAAUGUUAAUAAUAGAAAGCAAGGAUUGAAUAACAUACAUAAUAUUGUCAAAGGCACUAGGCACUGUGAGGCACUAAGAUCCCAAAUUACGUGGGAGCUAAGUGCCAACCAAGCAAAACAAGAUGCUUACCUUACAAAAUUUGUAAAGAAGAUAAUAAAGAAAAAUAAUAAUCAUUAUAACAAUAAUUUUAAUCAAAAUAAGUUGCAAAUUAUUUUGGAGGACACCUUUUGCACAAUAAUCUAUUUUUACCUCUUGACUUUGUUAUUAUGCUUGAAAAAUAUUUCUGCUAUUAGUUUUAUUAUAAAACAUGCAACUGACAAUAUAAGGGUCUUUGGAUCCUCUUAAUAGUUGUAUGUCCAUCCAAGAUACUUUUUAUGUUUCUUCAUGAUAAUUCUUCUGGCAUACCUAUAGUUACCAUUGUACCAAAAAUGCAAUUUGAAUUUCUCUGUUAAAUUGAUUAAUUAACACACACACACACACACACACACACACACACACACACACACACACACACACACACACACACACACACACACACACAGAACAUGAGAGGGAGAGAAGAAGAUGGAUGAGAGUGAAGAGGACAACAGCAUCAAUAUUCCACUUACAAAGAGUGAAGCAAAGAAGAAUGAAAAGUAGAAGGAAAAGGAGAAUCAUUACUUACAAGGAAUCUGACGCCCCCAAAGUGGAACUAUUCCUUUAUAUAGUCUGCAGCAGAACAAUAGUUAUAAUAAGAUAAAUUGCAACAGAAACGAUAAACAACUAAACCACAUGGAUGAAAAGUAAAAUGACAAAAACAAAAACAAAAACGUACCCCAUAACACCUUCAGAUUUGACAAAUUUAGGCAACCCAUCACUCAAUCCCCUUGCAAAACCAGGCUGUGUCUGGACCCGAACCUUCACAGCCUCAAAGGGGCAGAGAGCUACAUCAGCAAUCACUUCAGCAGAAGCAGACCCAGCAAGAUAGAUCAAAGUCUUAUACUUGGCGGCAUACUCUGGCCCAGCUAUAUCUGAAUAGUACUUCUUGAAGUACUCAUAAAACCCAAACUUGCAUGCCCCCUGGGCGCUGUAUCCAAGCAGAGUAGGUACCCAGCCCCUAAAGAAACCCCUGAUCCCUUGUUCUUUAAGCAAGACUCCAAAUCCUGAAGAGAUGCUUUUGUACUUAGCUGGGUCGAUCUAGAAGAUGCCAGCAAGACUUAUGGUCAAAUAGAUCCAUUGAAAAAUAUAAAAUAAACAUCAAUCCAGUCAACGAAACACAUUCAUCAAUAGUGAAUAUGGCAUAGAUUAACCAAUCAAGGCCUGAAAUUUACUUGCACCAACUUAUAUCGAACACCAAACAUUUCUAUCGAGCCUUAACCGCCGACGCAUGAGAACCGUACUUAAUCGCGCAGAUCAAUCUACAGAAUAUGAUUUCACAAAACAGAAGAUGAAUCAUGGAAACAGAAAGACUGGAAUGCAAUAUAUCAUCAGGACGACGUAGUUGAAGAAAAAUUAACCAAUGUGGCUAAAGCCGAAGCACGGUAAUCUGAAGGAGAACCAACAAAUCAGCAAGUAGAAAUCAGGAAAUAAGCAUCAACUAUCCAAAGAAGUCGGAUCAUGUAAAUCGAAAACUGCCACUGAAAUAGAAGCUACCAAAAUGAAAAAUUUAAUCCAAAAGGCAAAUAAGAAAAAGGAAAAGUAACUAAAAUUACCGAAGAAAAGAACUAAUCGAGUGAAAUAAAAACAGAAAAUCCCCACAAGAACACUUAAGGCAGACCAAUGGACUGGUAACCUCUAAAUCCCAGUACCAUAGAUCGACUGCUUCGAAAAAGCCGACGCAUCUCACCUGCAUAUUACACUUGACGAGGUCAAGCGGAGUGACGGCCAUGUGGGUGAGGCCGCAGCUGGCGAUGCCGCCGGCGGUACAGGCGGCGUAGAACAUGGGCGAGUACAUCUCGAUUUUUCCGGGCUCGUUGGGCGCCUGGGCAACGACUGGGGCUGGCGAGGCGGCAAUGCCCGCCGUCACCGGUGAGGCAGUGGUCCUCCCCAGGAUCCGGUCCAGGGCUCGGGUUCCGGAGGCCGGGGUGGGCGAGUACAGGAAGGUCGGGAGGAGGGAUUGGUGAGAUCUCUCUGUCAGAUCCAUUGCAGCUCCCCUCGAUUACGUGUUAGGGUUCGGAUCAAAGAGGAGCCUGAGUUGGAGGCGAGAGCCAAUGUGAUGGCUCUCUUGCCUCUCUUCUUCUCACUCGUGAAUGUGACGGACGCGAAAUGACUGGAGUUUUGGUGCACUCCCCAAUUUUUAGGGCGCGGUGGUGUUCGCUAAAUUGUCGGACUUAAAAGACGCAAAAGUUCCCGGCAUCUUUAGGGAAUUACCUAUAUAGACAGUAUUCGUGGAAAUUGAUGGGAGUGGCAAUAUUGGAAAUAAACGAAUAUGCGGGGUAAUAUUCGGAGCCGCGGUCUACGCCUCUUCUUUUGCCCAAUUGAAGGCCGAAUUCUUCGACAGAGAUCGGAGGAUGCGAUUCAUCGACAAAAAAAUGUUCAGAUGGACGGUGGGAGAUGAUGUAUUCGAUUAAAGAAUAUUAUGUUAAAUUGAGAUUGGGCUUAAGUUUCGUCUAUUGGGCCAAAAUUGGGCCGCAUUUGGUGUUGCGACCUCACAGAAUCGUUUCUUUGCUUCCUCACACGUUCCUCCCCGUCGCGGGCGGCAAACAAACGAGGAAGUCUGCGACUGGAAGCCACAGCAGCAACCCCAUGGCAGAAUCGCUUCCUGCAUAUCCGUAAGCUAUCCUUUUCCAUUCCUCCCAUGCCUUCUCAACUCCAUAUAUAAAUCCAUCCUCCAUCACCUCCCUUACUUCCACACACCGCCUUCUCUUUAGCCAAAUAAGAAGCAAACAGCACUGCCGCGACUCCAUGUCUCUGCGCCCCUCGGCUCCCAGGACCUGCCGCCUCUUCUGGUGCUACCAGUGUCACCGCGCCGUCCGCAUCAUCUGCUCCCCGGCCGCCGACGUCCUCUGCCCCCGCUGCUACGGCCGCUUCCUGCACGAGAUCGACUUGCCCCGCCCCCGCCUCGUUGUCGAGCUCACCCCCGUCCGCCCCCUCCGCGACCACCCUCUCUUCCCCCCGCCCGCAUGGCGCCGCUACGCCGAGCUCGACCGUGUCCGGCAGCUGGACUCCGACGACGGCCGCCGCAACCCCUCCGGUUCUUGGAUCGUCUUCAGGAGGACCACGGAUGACCGCCCCGUCGACCCUGGCCCUCGGCGUCCUCUGACCCCCGCUCCUCCUCGCCGAGAAGAGCCGUCGAUUCCUGCGGCGGUGCGCCCGGCUGACUACUACACCGGUCCUAAUUUGAACGAGCUGAUCAAUGAGCUCACCCAGAACGACCGCCCGGGGCCACCGCCCGCGCCGGCUCCGGCUAUCGAGGCAAUGCCGACUGUCUCCAUAACGGAGGCCCACCUGACCGACGGCUCUCAGUGCCCGGUCUGUAAGGAGGAGUUCAGCCUCGGCGAGGAAGCGAGGGAGAUGCCCUGCAAGCAUGUGUACCAUUCCGAAUGCAUCGUUCCAUGGCUCAGCAUGCACAAUUCGUGCCCGGUAUGCCGGUUUCAGCUGCCGGGUGCGGGGAACGGCGGCGGGCAGGAGAACAGAGCUAGUGGCAGCUCGAACACAGGCAGUGGUCGGAGCCGCCGACAGGACCGAUGGAACCCCUUCUUCCAGCUGUGGCCCUUUCGAGAGUCUUUGCACACCGGGGACUACCAGUACCGGGGACUCGAGGAGCACGAAGACAUUUUUAGUAGCCCUGGUGGUAAUGAUUCGAGAGUCCUUCCAGCUUUUCUUCUCAUCUCCUUGUAUUUCUGCGUCUUCUCAUACUUCCUUUGAAACAACUGCACAAUUUCACACUUGGGAAAGUUGGAGGUCUCAGCAUCAUCAUGCAGAAUGUUAUUACAUGAACUCUAUAUCUGAUCAUGUAUUUACAGCAUAUAAAGCUUAAAAAUCUUGCAAAGGUGAUUUCUUUUUGCCUUUUAUGUCAUAUGUUUACUAAUAUGGUGCAUAAAAUUGUUAUUAUAUCAAGCAUCGUAUAUUAUCUUUCCUAAUCUGUGUUUAUUAAUUGUUAAGAGUGUGACUAAUGAUUGAUUUUUCUCAGCCUUCUAUUCAUGGUGGCGCUCUUUAUUUCUUCUCUAGCAGUUCUUCUAGUGGUGCAGUCAUUCUCAAAAGGCCAAAGGGAGGCCUGCUUAGUGGACAGUUAAGUCUUUCCCUUGAACCCUUUACUAGUGUUUGUCAUUCUGUGCAUUUGGCAUCUGAUACCUUAGCUUCUUAGCUACUUAAGCUCUAAUUGCACCUUGUAAUGAUGCCUCUUUAGAAUGUCCAUCUUCCUAUAGGUUAUUUUUUGCAUAUAUUUCCAGGUUAUGAUCUUGUUUGGAGAUGAAAAUUAAAGUUAUCAUGGAAAGCAUGUAAUUAGAGUGUUUAUUACUGAUAGAUGAGUUAGCAUACACAAAUUGUCAUCUGAUAGAAGAAUUCAAUGAGCUUAUAGCUAAUUUAGCUUUGCUCAAGUUCUACACUAGUUUAAUUACAUAAAUUUGUGCAUGAUAUAUUUUUUUCCAUGUUAAUCUGCAAAGAAGGCAAGCAAAUGAUGAAGGUAAUAUGGCUGUGCAGUCGUCAAACGAAGGCUGGGAAUGCUGAUCCCAGAUCAUCCAUUGAAGCUUCACGGAAGAAGAAAUAUUGAGUCGAUAUUUUUACGAAGAAAGAACACAGCUACACAUCUUUAUGUAAUCAUCUGCUAUGUACAAGGUUAAUUCAUCGACAUAAGACCUCAAAAAAUAGUGGUCAAGGUGUAUCUCUUUCAAUGACCUGAAUGGCUUAUAAUUGUGAUUAAACAUUAUAUAUUGAUCUUAAAGGGAUCCAUUUAUCAUAUGAGAAUGUCUUCUCAUGACUGAUAAUUAAUUGAGGUUUGUUCACACUGAACAGCCCAUAUGUCAGAACAUAAUUGUUCUGACAGUUUAUGGGCUGUUCUUCACAAUCCUAGCUUUGGAUAGCUUACUUAAUUGAGUUAAAAUUGAUGAUGUUGCCCUGCAGCUUACUGGUGAUGUGUAAGGAACUUCAUGGUGUCACUUGAACAUAAAACAUGAAGCUUUUUAGGUAGAAGAGAGAGAUAUGAUAUCAUCAACCAUGAUGAAGUCACUAGCUUGAGUCUCAGUCUCUUUCUUUUUCUUUACCCUUCUAAUCUGUAAGUACUUUGGCAUGCAAAGCUGCAGAAUUGGUGAUUAGCAUGCAAAUCCCGGCACGACACUUCAGUCCUAUGCCAAUGAAACAUCCAGCUAAAAGGAAGAUGACGAUUGACUGGUCCUAAUUCACAUAGACAAGUGAUUGUCCAUUAGAUUCCAACGUGUUGGUCUGAGAUGGUCGACGCAAACACAAAUCGGCUACGCAAUUGUACGUCGAACUCCGAUUCACCAACACCAUGAUGGAUCGAAGGUGUAAGCCUAAGAUUCUGAUGUCAUUCUUUCACUCGAGCUGCCCAAAUGUGCAAGGUGGAGCCCCGAGGCCGCAAGGAGUCUACCUAGGAUUUUGAUGUCAGAUGCACAUAGAAACAUUCUAAAGCUUUAGUUUCAUUACUAUUAUAUCUGUGAUAUGCGAAUGAACCCAAACGCUUUAUGGCAUCCACCUUUCUCCACUUCAGUAAACCAGCGGCGUCGAGUGGCCACAACCCUACUGUCUUGAGGCUGCGAGACUUAUUCUGUGGUCUGCAGGUUGAAAUCCUCUCGUGACCGCACCACCCAACGAGGCUCAGUUGCAUCACCGUCAUUAGUUGCCGCUCCACAGGUACCACAUUGCCAUGCACUGCUCCCACUAAGUGGAUUAAACUAAUCCAAGAGAAAGAGAAUUGGAGCUUCUCUUGGACGUCUCUAUUACAGGUCGAUACCCAAGAUUGUACUGUCAGUUCAGCAUGACCACGAAGUGGGACUUCGGCACUUUCAGCGUGCCUUUUUCUUCCCCCUAUAUAAGUCUGAAGGGUGCAGUCUUCGAUUGCAAGAGAGAAGACAGAUCUAAAGGAUAGCUGAUAGUUGAACAGUUCGGAAGAUUUGGAUUGUGUUCUUGAGGUUUUACUGGUAUGGGGUUCGUCGAGGUGAUGAUGACGGUGAAGGCUUAUGUGCUCAUGGUGCUGCUGCAGUUUGGGUACGCUGGGAUGUUUGUCAUCUCGGUGGCAUCGAUCAAGCGUGGGAUGAACCACUUCGUGCUGGUGGUGUACAGAAAUGCCAUUGCUGCUCUCUUCAUUGCACCCUUUGCACUGUGGUUUGAGAGGUUCUCUCUCUCUCUCUCUCUCUCUAUCUCUCUCUCUCUCUCUCUCUCUCUCUCCUGGUCAUGUCACACACGUGAACACAGCAUCAAACCUGUUGUGCACCAUCACUCUCUCGUUUUCAGCAAAUUAAGGUCGGCGAAACUCCAUGACAAUGAUGGUUCGCCUUAAAGCAUUUGGAUUAUGUUGGAAUUCGAUCGCAAAGUACCAGCAAUGCAAAAAAGACAAAGAAAUCAUCACUGUUGCUUCCCUUCCAUCAUGCCUCUCCACUAUUGCAUUUGCUCAUGUUUUCUAUCUUCUUCUCCAACAGGAAGACAAGGCCAGAGAUGACAGUCAUCAUCUUCCUCAAGAUAGCCGCUCUAGCCCUUUUAGAGUACUGAUCAUAUCUAUCUGAAAUAUUACACCAUGUCAUUAAUCUCUGUUGACGCUAGUUGUAAGAUGAUUGACUUCUGAUCUCUUCCAUUACAGGCCUGUCCUUGACCAGAACUUGUACUACAUGGGUGCAAACUUAACCUCCGCGGGUUUCGCCUCUGCCCUGUACAACAUGAUCCCUGCAAUUACCUUCAUAAUGGCCAUCGUUCUAAGGUAAAUAAAUAUACGCAGCUCAAUCACGUAAAUCGUCAUCCAAAUAAGUUAGCUAUCUCAGUCGGAAAAUAAGAUCUACGCUAACUAUCACUCGAUCAUUGCUAGAAUUGAGAAACUAAGGAUUAAGAGCCGACAUAGCCAAGCCAAGAUUGUCGGAUCGCUGGUGACCGUAGUAGGUGCAUUGCUCAUGAUAUUGUACAAGGGCCCAGUAGUAGAGUUUGUAUGGUCCAAAGGGAGAAGCCACCGUGACACAGCAACCAGCCAAAGCAGCGGUAAUUGGCUAACAGGCAUCUUCUUGCUACUGGGGAGCUGCUUAUGCUGGUCUAGCUUCUUCAUCUUACAGGUAAUGCAUGCACCCAGUUGAUAUCUACAAUGAAUAGAUAUGUCAUGUCUCUUUCACCGACUGUUCCUUCAGCUAUGGAGGUAAUGAACAGAGAGCAAUCGUGUCUUUGCAGUCCAAUACCUUAGAGACGUAUUCUGCGGAGCUAUCCUUGACGACGUUGAUAUGUCUUAUGGGUGCGGCGAUGAGCGCAGUGGUCACUCUGGCGGUGGAAGGCUUCAGCGCGAAACCUUGGACGAUCGGUUGGGACAUGCGGCUCGUCACUGCUAUCUACUCUGUAAGAUCAGAUCAAACUCAGGCUAACACACCGUUCAUUUACGGAAGCUGACACGACUGUCUCAUCUCGGACACUGCAGGGUGUGGUUUGCUCCGGAGUUGCCUACUAUGUGCAAGGCAUAGUGAUGAAGGAGAGAGGUCCGGUGUAUGUCACUGCUUUCAACCCACUCUGCAUGAUCAUAACUGCUGUCUUGGGCUCCAUAAUUCUAGCAGAGGAAAUAACCUUAGGAAGGUGAGCGAAAACAACGAAAUAUGACAUCUCUUCCUUGCAUCUACUACAAACACCAAAGGAAACCAUAGAGAUACUGAUGCUUUUCUCUUGGAAACUUGUAGCGUUAUUGGUGCAGUAAUCAUAGUUGUUGGCCUCUAUUCGCUCAUCUGGGGCAAGAGCAAGGAUCAAGCAAAGCAAUCUUCGGAGAGAACUGCAGCCGAAAGAACUCUACAGCUGCCGAUCGCUGCAACUGAUGCUGGCAAAUUUGGAUCCAGUGGUCAAGUCAGUCUAAUAGAAAUAAACGCGCCAAAAAAUCCAUGAUCAUCAAAAAGAGAUUUUGUUGGCGCAAGUCAACAAUCCUCAGGUAGAUGUGUUUUCUUCUUGUUUUUGCCUUAAUAAAGCUUGUCAGGCACUUGUGUUCAUCAGAUUUCUGAUAGAGUGUCAGAUAAUGAGUGAGUACAUGUUUUUGAUCAGGUACAUGUAUUUAAUCUGAAUAAAGCAUAUCAGGCACUUACAAUCAUCAGAUUUCUGAGUGAGCGAAUGUGAUUUAGUAGGGCAGCUUUGCUGUUUUGGUUCUGAAUCGGACAAAUUGCAUGUCAUUCUAUGUGGCUGGCAUUGAGACUCGACCAAAACAUGAUCGAAUCUGAAGGAGACAAAGCCACAUGGUAGGAGUUAGGAUCGGGUCCCUCCUCCACGUAAAAUUGCCUCAUUCCCACAACACCACUGACGACGACUUCUCUCGAUUGUCUGUCUCUCUACAGACAAACUCGCUUCUUUUCUAAAGGGUGCGAGCUUGCUGUUUUGUUUAGGAGCACUUCAUGCCUCGAUAGGUUUAUUAUGUACAGAAAUUUCAAGUUAUUUAAUAGAUUCAUGAAUAGUUGAUCGCGUUAAGUUCGAAUUAAAUGUUUUGUUUAUACAUAUAAAUAUUCUACUAAUCCUUUCUUGCACAAGUAAGCUUGGGGUGAAAACAAUCAAUAAAAUGGUGAGAUAGCCAUAUCUUUUAGUUCAACCUCGCAUAACGUCUGAUAAUUCGACACAUAUCUUUAGAUAUAAUGAAUGAUACAUAAUCGAGCUUCCAAUUAACUCUUACUUCGAUUCAAAGGUUAUUUAAUCUUGACUAAACAAUUAGUGAUAUAUUGCAGUGGUACGAUACAAGAAUAUAUCAAUCAACACGUAUCAUCGUAAUUUAAUAGGAUUCGAUCAUCGAAUCCAAUCUCUCUCUUCUUUUGUAUAGCAAGCUAAAAAAAAUAAAAUAAAAAAAGAUUAAGAUUUAUUUUAGCUCAUGUGAUUUUUGACAUCGACCACUUAAAUUUUUAUGAUUUACUCGUGUCUAAAAUAACUUCUAUAUUUUUAAAAAUAUAAUAUAUAAGUCCUUUCCGUCAAGUUUAAGUUAACAAAUGUUAAGAGUCUGCUUACGUAGUAUGUCGACUUACGGUAAAUAAUUAAUAUAAUGACACAUAUAAUUUAAAUUUAGAAAAAUGAUUAAGAUCCAUUUUAACUCUUGUGAUUUUGGUCAUGGAUCAUUUAUGCUCUUAUAGUUUACUCAUGUCUAAAAUAACUUACAUAGUAACAACUCGAUGCUACUAUUGGUAGUCACUUCCAUGAUAACGCCUCAUCCAGUUAUUGAUGAUGGUCUCAUUUAAAAAAAAAAUAAAUUAUAUAUCUCAUUGUAUUAAUAGUUUAUUAUGAGUUAGCAUGUCACAUAAAUAUAUUUUAACGUCUGUUAACUCAGACUUGACGAGAAAGACUUAUAUAUUAUAAUUUUAAAAAUAUAUUAAUUAUUUUAGAUAUAAAUAAAUUAUAAAGACUUAAGUGGUCCAUUGUCAAAAUUAUAUAAACUAAAAUGAACUUUAAUUAUUUUUUAAACUUAAAUUAUAUAUAUAUAUAUAUAUAAUAUUAAUAAUUUAUUAUGAAUCAAUAUAUUAUAUAAAAUAAAUUAUAAUAUCUACUAACUUAGAUUCGAGGAAAGAGAUUUAUAUAUUAUAUUUUUUAAAUAUAAAAAUUAAUUUAGAUAAGCAUAAAUUAUAAGGAGUUAAGUGGUACGACCAUUCAGGAGCUUCAACCAAGAGAAAAAUAAUAACAGAUGCUUUUAGCUGUACCACCACGUGUAAGAAUUAUGCAAAGGCUUCCCACCAACCACUGGUGUUCGUGACUCAACAUCUGAUCCAUCCUCUGUUCCGCGCAAGUUGUCUCCACAAGUCUAAAGUGACAAUAUAUUCCCCAUCAUUGUUGAUGGAAAUACAGCAUACUCGGCUCUUCUGUACACCGAUCAACCGAGUAUAGCAGGGAGCGAUGGAGGCUCUGCUCUCCCAGCUGGCCUUCCUCGCCAACCAGGCUCUCCACGACAAGAACUUCGAUCCCUCGGCGUUGGAAGAGCUCUUGGCCCUCUUCGAGCAAGAGGCCUACGCCUCCUGGGCCGCCGAGCACCAGAAGGCCGCCGCCGACGACGCCAAGGUCUCCAUCAAAGACGCGGAGGACCACCUCCAGUCCCUCGUGGCCGACUUCAGUGGCUUCCGCCGCCAGGCCGAUGAGCCUGCGACGGAGGCCGAGCCGUCGAGCUCAGAGCGGGACGGUGACGCGAGGCAGGAGCUGGGCAAGUCCCCCUGCGCGGCGGCCGCCAGUACGGCCUCCAACAAGUACGCGGACGCGGCGGUGGCUUCGGCCUUGGCCACCGUGAAGUCCGCUUUUGCUUCCUCGAAGCUCCAGCCCUGAUUAGAUCUCACCGUGUAGCUGAAAACCAGUGAGCGGCGGCAUAAGUCACAGUCUGUGUGUGGUUGCGUGUGUAAUUUAGUAUCAGCUUGGGUUCGAUAUGAGAUGGAGGUGGCGAUGGCGGAGACGAACAUUGUUGCGUUGUGGUUCUGCAGUCCCUUUGGAUAGCGCGAAAAGUCCAAGUUGCAAUGUCCCACUCCCACCGCUAUUGCCGUCCUGCAUUAUUGUAGUGUCGGCCGUCGUGUCGCUUCCUGGAGAUCCUAUUUACUCGAUUGACGAUUUUUCCUUUUCUUCUAAUAUUUGAACUCUUUCGGGGGCUAAAUGAUCCACAGGCUUCAAAUUGUCACGAAAUAUACUCGUCAUUAUUGUAAUCCCACAACCUGGGAUUUUUGUUUGUUAAAUGAUGCUAUAUUGACGCUUUAAAACAUUAAAUUAACAAUCCCACAACUCAUAUAAUAGGCUUAAACAAAGAGAUGAUCAACACAUUUAUACGUUUAUGCCGUCGCACAAGUUCGAAGAAACAGAUCAUCUGCCACGAGGAAGAAGCACAAGAGCCUGCUGGCGCUAUGAGGACGCAGCAUAGUCUUUAAGGCAUGCAAAAUGGCAUUUACAGGGAACAUUUUACUUGAUUUCAGCAAGAAAAAUCCUAGAAAAUGGUCUUGGCAGACAACACAAAUUAACUACCAACAGUAUCUCACAGAAGAGUGACUUCUACAUAAAUCAUUGAUUACUGGCUUUCGGCCCUGUGACAGAACUUCUGAUUGUGUUCCCUCAUUAGAUGUCAUGUCACUCUGGAAUUCAUAAGCUCGACUUCGAAUUGUCGACGAAGCUCAAGAGAUCGAUGGUAGAGGUUAAUAUCGAGGCCGUCGACGUUCCUUCCUACACGCGCUUGCAAAAUUGCCUGGAAAUAAUAUACAAAACCGAGUCAAAGAGCGGAGCUCAAUGUGCCACUGAUUAUGAAAUAGAGAAAGAGCUUCGAUAAUUCCAAAAGGAAUCAAUAGCAUCUUUCGUACGCUGUCCUCUGGUAAAAUGAGGAGUUCCCCAAUGAACUGAUAAUAGGAGCCGAUCCGGAAGGUGAGGUCCCUCAAGUGUUGUGUAUCGAUCUUGAAGCUAACAUCAUCCUCGGUGAUUACCGCUAUGGCAGUGUCCACGCUGUAUUCUUGAAGCCUAUGGAGCAGAAAAUUAUAGCUUGAUUAGCACAGACAUCCUAAGGGGCUUCACAAAGACCAUGAGAAAGUAAUAUAACUAGACAAAAUUAUGAAUUGAAGCCUCAGCAGGGAGAAGUCAGCUAAUGAAGAACAAGGAAUAUUAACCAGGAAGUUUUUGCCUCAAAAAGUUGGCAUAUACAAAGUUGUGUUUUUCCUCAAAAUAGAAAAAAAGAAACCAACUCGAGUAUAUAAAGACAGCUGAAGUUUAGAUCCAACAGUAUUAGGACAAAAGAUUUGAGUAACCAGACCUUUAACAUCCUACUUUUUAUAGUUGACUAAGAAGUUCAAAUAACAAAGUAAAUUGGUAACAACAUCUGUAUGUAUAUAUCUUUUUCUUCAAAGAGAGAAAAAAAUGGGAAUCGAUAUAUAUAUAUACAUAUAUAUAUAUAUAUAUAUAUAUAUAUNNNNNNNNNNNNNNNNNNNNAUAUAUAUAUAUACAUAUAUAUAUAUAUAUAUAUAUAUAUAGUCAGUAGUACAUUUUGACCUCAAACGACCACAGUCAAACCAUUUUAAGACUCAAAAGAGGCUACUUUAGCAUAGAAGGAUCACUAAAGAAGUGGAUUCAGAAUCAUGACUCCAUUAACAACUUUGAUUAGGACAAUCAGAAGAUGUUCCUUCUUCAGGCCAAGAUGUACUGUCACCAUGUAAAAGAUUCAAGUGGAGAUCUACUAAGUCUCAGCUAAAUCAUUUGGACUAAGGGGAGUUUCAAUUCUAUUUGGACUCAGAGAAAAUCUUUGUAUUUUCGUACUUAUUUUCAAAGCUAAUUUUGGAAGGCUUUUCUAGUCCUAGUUAGAGCUGAAGUAGUGUCCAGGACUAACAAUAUGAGCAUAGCAUAAGUUGGGAUAAUUAUUUCUCUAAUCAAAAUUAUAUUUCAAGAACUGACAGAGAGUUUUUGUAAUGAGGUACGGUUAGCUUUCCUUCCCUCAACUUGUGUAUGUUAAGCUCCUACUAGGCCCUACUUUGUUUAGAAAACGAUUAUUAUUAAUAAAGAGUGGUCUUAUAAGAAGAAUUGAAGUUAACAAUCAUAGUCAUGGUCGGUUCUUCAUCCUUUUUCUUUUUCUAUUUAUCCCUCUUCUUUAUAUCUGUUUUCUCUCUUUCUUUUACUCUCUCUCUUGAUUCUCUCUUGAAGGACACCUUUUUCGCUUAAGGAAAAAUAUGUAAUCAAUUCCAUCCCUAUUCAAAUUUUAGAUUUGGAUUUCUGGUUUUAACUUAUUUUCUACCUUACAUCAUUGAAGAAAUGAAAUUUUAUUGAGCUGAAUUUUGGUACAUCAAAAGAAUAUCAAGUUAGAUGCUUGCUCAUUUUAUUUCAGCCAAAUCUGACACAGUUUCACCCAUCUAUUCACUCUUGUCAGUAACAAAUAUCAGACUGAAAAGUUCUGCAAGAGGUACAAUAUUCAGAUUCAAUCAACCUCCCUAUAAAUUUUGUUUUUUUCUCUAAUAACAUAUCGAAUCACACAUCUUCCAUGACCAUCAUCAUGGAUUGCUACAUUGCAUCACCAUUUAUCCCCUCAUCCAAUUAUAAAGAUUCAGAUGUUUAGUAUUACAGCCAUACUUACUAGACAUCCAAGUAUUCAUCAAUAUAACUGUUAAGUUCUACACAGUUGCCCCCUCGACAACAAUCAAACUGCAGGACUAAGAACACUUGGUUAGGUUACAAAAUCAUUGAUGGAGAAGUUAUCUAGAAUGACUAGCCAAUAUUGACGAUCAACUGGGCAACAAUAUUGCUCUGAUGAUUAUGCUUGCAAGCCAGGAAGAUUGUUAAGAUUUGAAGAUCAAAGAAGCCUCUCCCAUUGUACCAGCAAUUUUUUUUUUUAAUUACAAGAUCUCCGACAACCCUUACCAUUCAUCACAAGCAAAAGAAUGAGUCGAAUAAGUUUAUGAAGUUGUAGUGGUCAAUAAUAUCUCAACAAACUACACCGAAGAAGAAUACUAGUAUCAUCGGCCUCUAGCAUCUUUUGAUCCUCCGUUGAGGCAAAACAUUAGCUCUUAAACAACUUCCUACCAUUUCUCUCUCAAAUCUCUUUUAGAGGAUACCUCCAUCUUAGAAUAAAGAAGGCUGUCCAAAGGAGGAAAAAGAUCAUAACAAUGCAUCAAAAUCAAAAUCGUACCUGCAAAACAUAUUUUCCUAAUAACAACAUCGAGUUAUGAGCAGAAAUAUCGAGCAUAUUCUAAGAAACAUAUAGCUAAGAAACUGAAAUGUCAAGAUAGAUUUUUUUAUCAAUUAAGAAGCUCAGUCAAACUUUAGGACCUAGACUUUGGAAAUGUCUUUGGCAAUAAAAGCAAGAAGCCCUAAACCCAUUAAAAACUGAAAAAUUAAGUUAAACGAAGUUGUAUAUAAAAAAAAUAGUGUAAUUAAGCAAUACAUGUUUCAUAUGAUGUCUAAAUUUCUGAUACUCAAAACUUGCACUCAGAUAGAUUAAAAAUAUAAUAGCUGUUGGGGCUAUGCACAUUCAUAAGUUCACUGAAUAUAGCAUAUCAUCAGGACUUACUUUCCUGUAACUCGAAGAGAAGCACCUUGAUGAAAAAAUUGUGAACCUUCUUCUAAUUCCUUCAAAAUGACUGGUAUGCCAGGUCUUAUUGAACAUGUAGCCAUGAUUUUGACAACCACCUGCUAACAAUUGUUAGACAAGUUUCAAGACAUCUAAAUGCAGCUCAACACUUGUUACAAAAAUUAAGCAGAAGUGACAUGGAAAUUCAAUAACUUAAUUUUACAUAGUACACCAGAUAAAUAUGGUUCCCUUGAGUUUGUCAAGCCAUAUGUAAAACACAAUUUUAUAUCUAAUAGCUCUUUAUCAAGCAUAAUAUAGAUGGAUUCACAAACUUGAAAUCUGAACAACUUUUCCAUGUUUUUCAAUGAAACCAACAAAGAACUACUUAAGUAAACCUCCAUUUUGUAAACUUACUAUUUAAAUAAUUCAGCCCCCAGGCCCUCAUCAGAAUGCAGAGUAACAAGAAAUCUUACCUUGAUACACCCAUCAAAAAAGAUUCUGUUUAUGACUUCCACACUUUGAUUUCUAUACCUUAGAAACCGAUAAAGCAUCAUUGUCUCUGCGGUAAAAAUAUACCAAAUCCCAGCAUUCCUAUAGAUGAUUUACCGACUCUAUGCAUAACAUAGAUUAUCGACCCUUUUACACAAAACAAAAUGGCAAAAUAGGACAGCACAUAUCAAAUCCUAGAGAGAACAUUUUAAAUCCAUUGAAAGAAAUAAAAACAGAUUUUUUAAUUAAAGACGUGUUGUUUAUAUUUAGAAGAAAUGUCUUUUUAAAGGCCUAUAAAGCUUAAUAUGAAAGAAAUAUAAAGCUUAUUAUGCAAGAAAAAGGUUCCAUAGAAUAUUCUAACUAGGAAACUUACCUAUCAGAACUCAAUCUUAGCUAAUAAAAUCUUCAAAACACUUAAAGACAGAUAUAAAUAAAUAUUCAAAAUUCAAAAAAAUCAAAAGAUAAAUCUUCUCAAACUUUGCAACAAAACGCACCAAACCACAGACCCCUCCACUUAAAGAGCACUCGCUAUUGGGUUCAAAGGCUAAACUUGUAAUCUUCAACAACGUUUAUUUCGAAUCACAUAAAUUUUCAAUUUUUUUCGAAAUAAUUCUUUGUAGAUUCCACUGUAUGAAAAUUAUUUCCCAUGGUAAACAAACUUGACACUGUGUUAAAAAUGGUUUAGAAACAAACAUAAAAUCUUCAGCUCCCAUGAAAUUGACAAACUAUAUCAUGUUAUAAUGAAGAUCAUCAAAUUUGUACAUUAGCGGCUCAUCUUGAACCCCAGCACGACAAGCAGUCAGUAUUUCCAUCUCCAAUAUUGCGUCAUCAAGUUCAUAAAAUUUGACUGCCUCCUAUUCUAUCUUGAUUUGUUGCUUAUUACUCUCAGCACAAACAAUAGUGGCCAACUCUUUCAUUGCUACAAAUUCAAUAGCAAAAGCGACAACAAUUUUAUCGUCCUUGAUUUUUUUAUUAGUCCGCGUGUAUGACGGACGCUGGAGAUGGGAGCAGCAGCUCAUCCACUCCGCAGUCCAACCACCUCCACCACCAUCACCGGCGAAUGACUACACGGAGGAGAGGAGGAAAAUAGCAGAGAAGAAGAAGAGGAGAAAGGAAGCGGGAGACAAUGUACCUGUUCUCAGAAAUUAGUCGUCGUCGUACGCUUCGAGCUUUGGCAAUAGCUGGAGAUUAGGGAUGUAUAAAGACUCCUCCCUAUACUCGCCGGAGCUCCGUUUGGUCUGUGCGGCAGCCGAGGUCUGCGGCCGUCGGCGCCUCGUCCCGGACGCCGCUAUCGCAGAAAUUGGAGGGGGAUUUGCGAAACCUCCUCGUUUCCCUUCGGGUUGAAGACCCGGUUGAGAGAGGAUCCUCUACAACGAGACUUGUCAAAUGAAAAGGUGCAAUCACAUCUCAGCCGUCCAAUUAUGGCAAACGCGGAUAUAAAGGCCCCUCCCUCAUAUUUAACGUAUUUCCGCCAGUUUCAGAUUUCCACCGUCCGUCUAAUUAUAAUUUAAUUAAAAUAAGCUUACUAUUUAUCACCUUAUUUUACUAUUACUAUUGAUAACUCCUUUUCUAUUGAUAAUUUUUUAAAAAUAUAAUAAAAUUUUAUUUUACUAUUUAUAAUCAUAAUAUUAUCUAUUUUAUUUUAUUUUCCUUCCCCUAUUUAAUCCUUGCACUAUCACUACUCAUUCUUGUUGAUCGUCGUUACUACUGACAUCGAUUUGAUGCCAUUCAACCUCACUCAUCAUUUUGUCAUGAACUUAGUUAAUUUUACAUAAGUCGUAUAGUAUCUUUAAGUUUCAAAAAAAAAAAUAAAAAGAUAUUUAUGUUUAUUUAUAAAAAGAUAAUUUAAAAUUAUAAAAAAAAUUUAAGAUUAUAUUAUAAAUAGUAAUAAUAAGGGGAUACAAAUGAUAAUCUCUUAAAUAAAAAAUAAAAAGAUGCUCUCAAACUUAGAAGUCUUACAUUUUCUGGUAUUUAUGAAAUGAGCUCCUAUUUCAGAUUUUUCAUAGAGCGUUUCUCCUUUUACAAAUUAAGAGAAAAUUUUAUUUUAUUAAUUUUUAUUUAAAUUAACCCAGUUCGACUUACUAUUUUUUGUUUAAACUAAACAAGUGCAACUCCUUGAUGAGUAUACAUAUAGCUAUUAUGAACUUUUCUAACAAAAGCAUUUUUCUGUUAAAUUUGACAUGCAAAUUAUUUACAUUGUUUCCAGCAUCUGAUCGAUACCAAAAACACUGCUCUCCCUACCUGACAAACCAGGUGAAGAAGGACCAAGGAGUAUGUAAUCCUAUCGUGCACAGUUGUGAUCAACAAUAACUGUUAUCGACCAAAAGAUUUGGAGGUUGGAUAAUGCCACAUUAAUCAAUACCACCUGCAUCAUCGAAGCUGUUUUGCCAAAACUUUCAUGAAAUAUCAUAAAAUGCACCUAAGCAGGUUCUUCAGUUGCUGUUUACGAGGCUGUAUUAGCACAUUAAGACACCGCACUAAAUGGACAGAAACAUCUUGGUAUCUACAGGAAGUUUCAAAUUCAAUGUUCUCAAAGCAAAAACCAAGAAGAAGUCAUGCAACCAAGUUGCAAAGACUAAAAUGCACCUAAUCGAAACAAAUAAUUAAAAUAGCAUGUCAAUCAUAGCACUUUGGCAUCUACUCCUGCUAAAUUAUGAUUAAACUUCCGGCAGAAAACAAAGAGUAUAUUCCACAGAAAUCAAGCAAACCUCUGCAGUGGCAGAAAUCCCAAAGUAACAACAAAAGAUGGAAAAUUUUUAGAACGCGACUGACACAAGCAUUCGGUGAAAUUAAGACCGGGAUUUCUUCUUUGACUUGCUGGAAGCCUUCGACUGCUCAGAGCUUGUUACCUUUUGGGGCCCACUUUUGGAUGAGCUAGAAGUAUUUUGGCCUGAUUUUGAACUUGGGCCAUUGACUGAACUGCUGGUUGCUGGGGCAAUGGAGUCAUGCUUCUCCCUAACCACAGCUCCCUGAGAACCCCGAAUCUGACUUCUCUUAUCCUUCCUCUUGGGCCUAUAACUUGACCUCUCUCUCUUCGGCAGCCAUCUCUCAGGAUCUGGUGGAGGCCCUGGAUUUGCUGGAUCAAAUCCUUUCGGGUAUCUGGGCUUCCGCUUCCUUUUCUUUGUCUUUGCUUUCUUUACAUCCUCGGGAACUUCUACCUUCACUGCAUGUGCACCUUCAACAUGCCUUGCACCAGGUGUCUUCUCUAGACUCUCCACAUUCAGUUGUUUCAAACCAGAAAGUUGCUUCAACUGCUUCUCAUAUAACUCGGCUUUCUCAAGGUCAGUGUGAGCAGCCGUCAUUACAAGACCCACCAGAGCUUCGAUAUUGCCAUGGCUCUUGACAAGUUUUUCAUAUAACUGUGAAGCCUCCUCCUCACGUCCAUGAUUGAGCUUAAAAGCUGCAGCUUUCUGCAUGAUCAAAUCAAGUUUAUUUUCUUCGGUCAUGGCAUUUUUCCACCAGUCAAUUGCAGAGUCAAGCACUGCAGCAGCACUACUAAAGUCACCAAUGCGCUCUUGCAAUGAAACUAGUGUCGCCACAGUUGCAGGCAUGUUUUGGAUCUCAGGAAUCUUCAACAAGGACUCAACAGAUAUCUGAAAAUGACCAGCGGCAGCAGCAAUUUGAGCACGAGCAAGGAGGACUGGCCUGGAUUUGUCAGGAAACUUAUCUGCAUAGUGUAUAAGUACUUCCUCAGCUUUUGCUGCCUUCUUCUCUCUAACAAGUAAAGCAGCUUGAAGCAGGACAGGUGUUACACUAUCUGGGAACAUCUCUGGUAGUGCAGAGAUGACUUCUUGAGCCUGCAAGGAAUCACAACUAAGUUUAUUAAUAAUUCCUUCCACAUUUCUCAUUUCAUGCAAAUACAAGCUCUUUGGUUACAGAGGAAGAAUAUUUCUUCACAAACAUCGACCAUGAAGCAUAAUGGGAAUAAUUAUAUAACAAGCUGUCACAAUGAAAUUCAACUUUCAAGGAGUAUACCAAUUCCUGGACCAGGAUUAUGAAACUAAAUUUACGCUAAUGAUUCCAAAAUUAAAGUUUAACAUAAAUUUUAGGGGCCUUUGAUUUGUGUCUUGCCCUCUCCACGUGAAUCAAAUGCCCAUAUCCUACCAUAAAAUACAAAUAAAUUUCAAAUCAUCAUGCUUCCAAUUGACAAUUGAAAUGCAUGAAAGAAGCAUCAUCAUAGUUCACUUUAAAGAAAGAAAAGAGAAGCUCAUAAUAAACCUGAUCGAGCCUAUUUGCUUGAAGAAGUAAAAGCAAACGGUUGGCAUACAGAGAUUCUUUUUGUCUCGUGGAUAACUUGAAAUCUAAACUGUUGGCAAGUUGGAAUUGCCUUGCACCAGUGCCUUUUUCUAUUAGUCGAUCAAGCCUCCUUAGACUAUCCGAAACAUCCUUUGUACCCCUUAGUGAAAUCAGGUUAUUUGUCGCCACUGCAAGUGAUGAAGCAUCAGACAGAUUACGGUUUAUUAUGGACAUAUAAGCUUCUAUUGCUUCUUCAGUUUGUCCCUGUAACUGGAAGAGAAGGAAAAAGCAACCUUAAAAGCCAAAUUACACUAUGGAGGUUUACAAAAUCCAUAAUUGCUAUUCACCUGAUGCACAUAUGCAAGCUGGACAGCAAUUGGAGCUAGUUCAGUUUCUAUCUCAUCAUCAGCAUAGUCCUCCUCCAUUAGCAUUUCCUGACCAAUUCUGGAACAAGAAUUCAUGUUAACCUCCAUCAAGAUGCACUUUAACAGGUUCAAAAGAAUAUCCAAGUCCAAAUACAGAGUAUACAACAAAACAUCAUCGAACAUUUAUUUCUGUAUAAACUCCACAUAAAAUGCAAAAAACCAUGGCACUACAUCAAUAAUUUAUACAAGAAGAUGCAUGUGUUAAUUAGGAUAUAACUGAGACACUAAUCAAUGCAUUGAGACUCCUUUGGACGGCGUCAGGCAAAAAAUAUAUACAGAAAGUGACAAACUAAUUUCAUGAAACUGAAAAGACAAUGCAUAUCAAUUAUGAGAAAAUAACUAUUUUAAUUAUAUAAACUAGUAUGAGGGUACAAAUAUGAUGAAAAUAUUAACCAUCUUAGCUGCUACAAUUUGGUUCAAGUGACUAGCAAGCCACAACUUUUAAAAAUGUUGGUGGCAUGGAUUAUGUAUGAAACAUAACAACAAAAAGAAGGAAAUCUUGCGAACAAGAUUGGAGCAGUAGAUCAAGACCCAAGUCACUAUAAGAUAAGCCAUGAGCAGCAUCUUUGCAAACAUUUAAUACAGAUCAUAUAUCAGUAUUGUCAUUAUCAUUUAUUGGAAGCAGAGAGAUGUUCCUUGCCUACUUUUAGUUUAAGCUACUCUAGAAUAUUUAAGGUUAAUACAGAAAACUAAGAAAAAAGCUAGCCAAUCCUUGAAUAUUUAUUUAAUAAUUACAUCAAGUUUAGCUGUAAGACUGAGCUAGUGAGUAAGACUAUCUUCAGGAACACAUUUUGAUCAUUUAUGAAGGACCUGAGAUCCAUUUACACAUUUAGCAAUUUGACAUUACUCACAAUUCAUUUCUUAUGCCCUUUUACAAAUUCUUCAUGUUUAUGAUUUAAUCAACUCUUUCCAUCUCGUAAGAAACUUAGUAGAUUUAUUCCCUUAUUGCAUGGCAUAAACCUACAGCCUAUAAGGUCCAUUACUCUAGAACCAAUUAAACUAAAAGAUGUAAUUUAAGGCACCAAUUUUUACCUAUAUGACUCAUUAAUCAUUCAACAUCAAAUCAGUCUCAACCAAUGCUGGUGAGAAACAAGAAUACCAUAUUGAAAUCAAUAUGGUAUUUUUCCAACUAAGACCAACAUUUUAAAUUUCAAUGUCACUAAGACAGUGACAUAUAUGGCAAAGAUAGGUGAAGAAAUAAGAGACAACAAACCGUAACUCUACAGAUAAGUAAGCGAACAGAAAGCAUAUAUUUAGGAAGAGAAGACAAAGUAUGAUACCAUAGUCAUUAGUUCCCAAAACAUGCACAUGCAUAUAAAAUUAGCAUUCAAAAUUCAAGGCAUGAGUUCCGAAAAUAUUUGAAAUUCUAUAAAUCAAUCAAAGCUACAGAAAAUGAAGUUGCUCAAAUCUGCAAAACAUCAUAAGAAAAGGAAUCCUAGAACCAGGGAGUUGCUUUCUGCAAACAGAAGUUGGCUGAUGUCAUGAAGUUCACAAUACAUGCAACUCCAUGCCAGAUGCUAAUGAAAAUUCCACCUAAAGCUAGUUCUACAUGACAAAUACCAAUUACGUGGGGCCAUUAAUUAACAUACUCAUCUUAUCCCACUUAAGAAAAUUUUCCCGCAGAAAAAAACUUCAUAUCUCUAAAAAUCAGCUGUUCCAACAGAAUUGCUUGAACCAUAAACAUUUUAAUCUUCAAAAUGAUACAGCGAUUAGUUAAAAUAGAGUAAUUAUAGUCAAGCAACAAGAAGAAUAUGUAUAAGACAUGCAUUAAAUUGUUACAAUUAAGAGAUCCAUUUGACACUUAAAAAUCCCCUCAAAUGGAUAUUACUUUACAGAAUCACACACCUUCGAGCUGAAAGUAAUUGUUGCUCAGCCUCUGCAUAUUUUUUCUUUUCGAUCAAGGAGCAAGCAUAGUUGUAUGCAAGUUCAAAGUUACUAGUAGCCUUGACUUUAAGUGCAUCCAUAGUUUCCUGAACUUCAGCAGACCUUCCAGCUGCAAUUAGGGCAGCAAUGAUGUUUGUCUUUAGAUCCAAGGAGUCAAUCUUGAAUCUUUGAAUUUUCUCAUAGCUGUCCAUGCAAGCAUCCAUUUUUCCUAGACGAUAAAGAAUUUGAGAUUCCAACUGGAGGAUCAUAGAAUUUCUUUCUUGACCAUCCAAUACCUUCAGUGCUUCAUGUAGUUUGUUUUGUCUGUAUAAGCAAUAUGCCUGAUUAAAAGGAAACAGAGUAAGACUUGAGAAAACAGUGGCUUAAAAAUGUUGAAGUAAGCUGUAAGAUCAUUCAGCAAGUACUGUGAAGUUCAUUUUUGUGCUAGGCUAUAAUAAGUGAACUUUUCUGUAUCAUUACAGAAUAUACCAAGCAGAAUUAUAUAUAUAAUUUUCCUAUGGGUAAAUUAUUUAACAGCCCCUGAGUUACAAACAAAUAUCAAGCUGAUCCUUAAACUUCCAACUUGUUGCAUUUAAUACCAGAAGGUUCAAACCAUGAUUCAAUAUCUCAAUACCGUCAAAGGAGAGAAAGGGAGAACAGAAGAGGGAUGGAGAAAGACAAGGAGGAGGAGGAGAUGAAGCAGAAAGAGAAGGAAGAGAAGAGAGGAAGCUAAGGAGCAAAGAGCCCUGCUGUUGAUAGGAAAAACAGCUGUCAACAGCAAGCUAGGGAUAUUAGGAAAAAUCAAAAAUACAGUUUUGAACCAGAUUGGAUAAAUUCACCCAAGUGAUUAGUCUUAGUUAGACCAAAAAUUACGGAUCAGUACAUACCAGUCCGACUAUAUAUUUUUAACUAUAGCUCAAAAUUAUCAAAAAGAUUGCAAUCAAGUUGUUGUAUGAUUACAUAAAAACGAUACAAUAUUUAAGUGUAGGUCAACAAUUCCAAAAGGCAGGAUCGUUCCUAAAAGGGCUUAACUACUUAUGUAUGAGAAAUAGAUAAUAAAAAAGAAUAUGAGGAGGAGAGAGAAUAAAAGAGGUGGCAACCAUUCACCUACCUUAUUUCUGAGGAGGAGAGAGAAUAAAGGAGGUGGCAACCAUUCUCCUACCUUAUUUCUGCUAAGUGCCAUUCACCACAGAUCCAUCUUCCUCAACAUCAUUUCUACAUUCCUCGAAAGUUAACAAUAAAAGAAGAGAGAAGGGAGUAAAAUUGGGAACUAUAAUCCAACAUUUCUUUUCUCCAUCCUACUUUUGAUCUACAUUGGCUAUGGUAUUGUGCCUGAAGAACAAAUCUCUUGCAUCUACCUUCUGUUGGAACUCAUAAUGAUGGCAUUUUGGCAUCUCAAGUUAUACACGGGAAUCUAACACAUUACAUGGAAUUUUCUAUAUCAGACAAAGGCAAUGGCAUCUAGAUACAUCUGAAGAAAUGGAGGACUGAACUCUUCUAUUUGUAUCUUUUUUUAAGUCGGGGAGAUCAUGCCCAUAUUGUCAGUAUUUAACAAUCAAAUCUGAUAGAUCCAUAUCUAAAACAAGAAGUCAUAUUCUGGUUGUAGCUUGGUUUAGUUCAGCGUAGAUUAGAUUUUUCUAUUUUUGGGAAUUUUAUAUUUAUUUUGUCCACAUUUUAUGUAUUACUUUUUUAGAACACGUUCAUUUGUUGAAUGAGUCAUAUCUUUUUGGUACUUUUGAGUUUUAUCUCUUACACACUUGAAAGGAUGACAAGAAUUCAUCUUAUCCUUAGAGUCCCAAUACAGUUUUGAGUAUUGGAAAGAAACAAUCAAGUCCUUAUACACAGUACUAGCAGGAGCUAAAUUGUUUUAGCUAAUGUAUAGCAAAUGUGUAGCAUAUGAGAUUUCGGUGGAAAAUCCAAUGUUUCUUUAAACUGAGCACCCUUAGUUUUUCUUUUUUUUUUCCCAACAUUGGUCUACUUUCAAAACUUGUCUUUUGCAUUAUCAAUCAAUUUGAAACUCUAUUAAUAUUUGGUUGUUGCAUUAAUUUGCCAUCUUGGAUUUGUGAUGAACUCAACAUCAUGUCAGAAAACAGGUCUGGACUACAAUGCUUCUCCAUGCUGCACCAAACUUUGUAAUCACUUGGUUACAACAACUUUAAUUGUUAUAAGAUAAAGGGAGAAGAAAGGGAAAUGAUUACCAGUCAAUAUAGACCCAUAUAUCUCAGCAAACAGCCAAUUGGUACAUGCAAUGGUCACUGGUGUCACUGGUCCAAUCCUGUAUUGACUUUACUGCCUGAUAUGCUUACCUUACCGGUGUUCCAGGUAAGAACUAGCGGAUAAGCAUAGUAUUGUGUGCAAAAAUAGGUUUGUUAUAGGAAAAUGACACAGACGCAUCAAAGUAUGGAUCCAGUGUGGCAAAAUGGCCAUUCGUCUUGGACCACUAGUACAGCCAACGUGACUACAUUGGUCGAGAUGAAGAAAUAAUUUGAUUAACGUAACAUUUGAACACUGAAUUUCUUGAUAUGACUAAAUACAUUAAGAUGCCCGUCGAAAUACAAGCUUUCAUUGCACAAUUGGAGGUCUAAAACGCCCUAAAGUUGCAGUAGAAAGCCCAAAGAGGCGGACCUCAACAGGCAGGCAUCUAUGAGCCAUCCAUUACCUUCUACAACAGAGACUUAUAAUUGAUAUGUCGACGGAUACAGUAAAAAAUUAUUAUUUCCUUCAAACGAUUUUAAAAUCCAGUUUCCACCUAGCCUUGCUCGCAUCUAAGCCAAAAUAUCACCCUCAUGUAGUUUCUCAAAUUAUGAUAUUGUUAAUUAGGUCGGGGAAAUGAAGCGAGAGUAUCAUAUAAAUCAAGAACAAACCUCGUAAAAUCUGAGAUGUAUAGGCAGAUGGCGAGAAGCCUGGAUGGUGGAGAGAGCCUUAUCGAUCGCAUCGGACUUUAUCAAGGCCACGACCUUGCACCGGAGGGCGUCCUCAUCCCCGGGCGCGAUCGCGAGAACUGCAGCAAGCGAGAAAACAGCACAUAAGACGCGAAAAUUCGCACUAAUCGAGAGAAGGACGGAUGAGAUCGAGUGGGACCUUGAUCCGCGACCCUGGCGGCCAGCUCGUACUCGGAGUUUUGGGCAUGGCGAUGGAGCGCAGCGAAGAGGUCCUCGAGGGGGACGGACUGGGCGGCGGGAGGUGUCGGAGAAGGCGAGGGCUUGGGGUUCACCUUGGCCUUGGGCGCCAUGGAAGCGGCGCCGGCGCGGCGCUACCUUCGCAGGUACGAAUUAGGGCCAGAUGGGGGCUCGGUAACCGUGUCGGGUCAUCAAAUGGUCAUCGGAGUCUGCUAUCCAUGAAGACGGGACCCGCAUCCGAUCAACUGUGGAUGCAUAGAAUAUAUUACAUUUAUUAUAUAAUAAAUGAUAUUACAAUUAUACGUGGUGAAUCCAAAUUCGCCAAGUGACGACCUACUAAUUAGACGCGUCACAUUAGCACGAUAUUUAUAAGGUAUAUAUAUAUUUAUUAAUAUACUUAAUAUUUUACGAACGAUGAUGAUUACAAAAGGAAUACUAUAAAAUAAGAAGAACAUUUGGAGAUGUCAAUUUACUAUUUCAAUCUCAAUGAUAUCCUAUUUUUCUUGGAUUGUGAUGGUUGUUUUUUUAUUUAAUUCAAAACUUAUUGAUACAUAUUAUGUCAGAAUUAAUUAUCAUUUCAGGUGGGAUAGCAAGGAAAUAUUUAGAGUACGUGCUGUGUGGAUGGUAUUCUUCGAGCUUGGCUAGAAAGGUAUUCAAAAUGUGUUAGGUUGCAUGGACUCGAUCUUCUACAGGUUAAUAUUCUUUGUCAUGAGGAAAAUGAUAAAUAUAUUGGUCAUACUUAGUUGACAACCCAACUUCACAAUCGAUAUGUCAAUAUCAUAUGGUCAAUAACUUGAUCUCUUGAGAUAGACAUAUUUAGGCAAUAUUAUCACCACAUAAAAGUCAUAUGGUAAAUAAUAUGAUCCGUAUAAUUUUUACCUCGAUAUCACAUAAUCAAAUUUGGGGCCACGUGGGGGUGACAUGCCAACAACAAAUGAAUUCCACGUUAGCUCAUUGUCAUUCUACAUUCUCCUGUUAGUUGAUUAUGUUUGUCGUCUAAUUUUUUCAAUCAUUCUAUUAAUUUAAGCGUCCAAGAGAUUAUGAAAAGUGUUUUAAUGUAACAAAAAAGUUUGGGUUGAGAUAACUCCGAAAAGAAACUAAGUUAGAUUCAAAUUAAUUUUUAGAUAAUAAAAUAUCAACUUAACAUUCCGGUCUCUAUGUAAAAGAUUUUUUUUUCACCUAAAAUAAUUAUAUUAAUUUAUUGGUCUAUAAAAUAAGAAGGUUAAUCAUUUUACGCUCGGGAGCGAGUUUGCUCGACUGAGAUAUAGGCCUCGGUCCCUCCUUCUAGUAUCAAUCUGAUAAGGGACAAUUUGAUCGAUCGACCAUUAGUAUAAGCUCAGAGGUAUUAUCUACUUUGAGCAAUGAUCGUACCCGUAUAAUUUUAUUCUCUUCGGAACAUGUGAACUCCAAAACAAAGAAGAUUUAACGGACUUAUGAAACCUUGAUUCCUAUGCUCUUCAACCAAUACAAAACUAAAUGAUCUUAUCGUUUAUCGGACGCAAACAAAUACGAUAGGCAUUCAGUCAGUUGAACGAAAGACCAAUGGGAAUUUUAUUGCAAAAUCACACAACAAAUCGCCUCGACGAUAAUCAUAACGACACUAAUAAUGAUAAGAAAGCAAAAACAAGAAAAAUAAGAAGCUAUUUAACGCAAUAAGGCGAGGGAGAUGAGAAGCAACAAGGCCACCGUAGCCUUGACACCGGACGGAAGCAAAGAUGCUGCUGAAUCAGAACCGGGUGUCACCGAUGCCGUGGGACCAUUGCUACCGGCCGAAGUGGGAGGAGGGCUGGUGGUGGAAGGCGAUGAAGAGACGGUGAUGGAUAACUUCUGGCCCGCACCACAGUGUCCCGAGAAGCCACAGAUAUAGUAAUGCUCCCCUGCACUGGUGAUGGUAACAGUGGCGGGGCCGGUUUUUAUGGUGGAUCCGAUGGGAUUGGUUGUGGAGCAGGAUUCGUAAUCUGAUUUCGCCACUUCCAGUACGUCGUGGGUGCCGGUCGUGAAGUCGAACACUGAAUUUGUCAAGGCAAUCGAUUAGGACGGGAACAAAGAACACGUAAUAAGACUAUAAAGAAUUCGAUUAACCUCUACCGAUCAGCAAAACAAAGCGUUACCUAAACUGUCGCCGACGGCAAACUCCUGCGAGGCGGCCCAGUCGGGGUAAAAGGUGGCGCUGGAAGGUAUCGUCCAUCCAGAACUGCCCCCAACGGUAUGGCU